GGCGGCAUAGAACCAUUAGGUGACAUCAUAGGAACAUGGGCUGGACCUGGGAAGCAAAGAGGUGCCACUUCACAACAGGCUGCAGGACUGUAUUCCUCCCUUGGAUGUGAUGGAAGCAGAAUGGACAUGUUUUGUAUAACAUCAUUUGAGAUGGUGAAAAACAUUCCUGCAAUGGAAGCACUGAUAAAUUCAACUUGACUUACAGGAGAUAUUUUGAACCAGCAGCAGAUGUGCAGCUCAGUCACCUACCCACAAGCCAAACAGUGGUUUGUAACCGCACAGAGGGCAGUGACUCUUCCCUCGGUACUAACACACUGCUAAUGCCACUGCCUUGCAUUGCAGCAAGGUCACACAGCACCCAUUAAAGUUGUUUAGAUAGGACUAAAUCUCAGAAGUUCAUGUGCUGUGAAUCUGAGAAGAUAGAUACUUGAGGACCACUAGAAGAGCAGCUGAGAUGCUGACCUCUUAAAAGCUAUCAGCAAAGCGUGCAGAGCUGCAGGGAAGCCUGCCAGUUUUCCAGCACUGUCUUGUUUGUGCUUUAAGUACAAACUGAAAAAAUCUGGUUUAUUGCAUUGCAGAGCACAUAAAAACACAUCCGAUGUAACAGAAACAAACUGUAGUAAUUUUUAUGAUAUUUAUGAUACUUUAUGUUAUUUGAUUUAGUAUUCCAGUCUUUCCCUUACCUUGAAUACACUGAAUGUGUCCAUCUUCAGUUGUAAUUGUAAAUGUUUCACCUGGGUUCACCUGCACAAGAAUAACCUGUUAAAAAAAAAAAAAAGGAAAACAAAAUAUAAAGCAGUUAGUUAGCUUUUUAUUUAUUUACUUUAAAGAUUACUUAACCUCUAUGCAUGUAUCUUACUUCAUGUAAUUUUAAGCAUUCCUGAGAAGCACUCUCCAUUGCUCAGAACAGGAAGUUUGCACAGACCUGUUACGUUUAAGCAGUGUAUGUAAAACAAGACCCAAAGGAACAGCUUGUUAAACACUGGUCAACACCAACUCUACAGCUUCUGCAUACUGCUAUAUUCAUCUUUUUUUUUACUUGUAACAUGGGAUGUGGAAGCAUAAAUGAACACAGACCCUACCCCAGUGAGUUCACAGGACAGGAAACAAUUCUGCUCUGGGUAGGUAGGCUGCUUCUGGACAUGAGCACAGCACCUGGAGAAGUCACACAGCAAUACUCACUGCGGUUCCAGCAAGAGGUCAGGGCAGACAGCACUGUUCAAAACAGUGAAAUUGUAACACUGAACUGUAACUAAUUCUGUCACUUCCGUGCAUCAGUAAACGUGUAGCUUUAACUCCACUACAUUUCUAGUAGUAGAGAAAGUGAUGCAAUGUUUUCUGUUGGUUUCUGUUACACAACAUACCAAACAGACAAUAAUAGGCUGGGGAUUUGCCAGAGCACAAAGGAAAUACAAAGUCUGCAGUGAAGAACUGCUGCUGGGAUGGACCCCACAGGCAGGUAUUUAAGCUCACAACUCAUCUCCAAGGACAAGAGAAAUCAGAGGCAGGAAAGGGAUGCUUUAAAAAUUCAGAGCCUUUGAACAGGUCCCAUCUUCAGAAGAAGUUCCAAUUAACUGAAGUUCAGGAAACGAUUAACUGAACUGAGUGAAAAGGAUCCUAAGUAGUGUAAGCACAGGACUGCAGAGCAGCACAGAGGCUGGAAUGUCAGGAAUGCACAGGGCAAUGUCUCAGAGGAAUGACUCACUAUAACUAAUGAAGCAAAUGCAAUUCCAUCUACCUUCCAUCAAGGAAAACUUCCAGGAAGCCUGAGUGCUCCUCAGGAGUCAGCCUAAGCCUGGUAAGAGGCGGCACAGGGCACUCAGUAAGGCUGACACGUCCAGGUGCCCCACACAACCAUUUUGGAACUAAUGGGAUCAGCACAGUUUGAGAGCUAUUUCAAAGCACUGCUCAGCAUUUUGCUGCUAUGCACUUUCUAUUGCUGAAGUAUUUGGGGUUUUUUUUUUUGUUGGGUUUUUUUUUUUUUUUUUUUUUGGAACAAGAAACUCUUCCAGAAAACUUCUGAGUUCCUUUCUGUGAAAUGGAACUGAUGAGUUGGAAGCUGCAUCUGACUGACAGGACUUGCCAAACAGCACACAUUUUACUUCUACAAACAAAACCACUCUGCAAUACUUUAUAAUUAGCCCAUCCUCUCUGGCACUGGCAGCAAAAUGAUUAAAACUCAUCUGCCUUAAUAAAGCUUCCAAGUUAAUACUCUACUUAACAGCAAGCUUGCAUAAGUGAGCUGUGGCUCAGUAGCUUCUACUCCCUGCAAGUGAGAGCAGCAGAGGGGAGCAGCACUGCGUGUGUAAUGUGACUGCAGGAUGGCAGCACGGCUGUUUAUAAACAGUGAGAAAUGCUGGCACAGUGACAUAAAGUGACAUUCUCACCCCAUGAAGACAGACACACCUAUUUUCACUAGACAGGCUUACUCGUUAUUUCCAAAAUAACCCAGUUAUAAGGCUCAGAGACUAUCUGCUUUCAAGUCUGCUCUUAAAAGGCCAUUUUUCCGUUCAUCUCCAAGACUCGACUUUUUUAAACCCCACCCGACCGCAAACAGCCUCUACUUGGCUCCCCAGACUCCAAUGACAGUCACCUUUUGGUCACUCACUGCACACUGAUACUCUACACACUGGUCUGUACAAGGAUGUGCUACACAAACACAGCGACAGAGCUGAUCUCCAAUGAGACUCAUCUCUUUUCCUCAUGUAACAAGAAACACCAGCUACUGAAUAAUCUCACAGCUGGUCAGUGUCUAAAAUUUCAUGUUGCUAAUGCUAGAACUGCAGAACGAGCUGAGAUAUUCCAUAGCUUUGUUUAUUUCAAGACACAGUCGUCUUAUCUCCAGAGUAAGAGAAAAAAAUGCAGAGUACAAUUACUCAUCACUUCUUUUUUAGUAAGGCCUAUCAUUUCUACAAGGAAGUGCCCUACAACUGAAAUAUUGCAGGUCUCUCCUCUUUCCCACCUGUAACGUUUACAAAAUAGAAGAGAUUUAAUUUAAAAUCUUCCAGCAUACACUGCUCCCCAGAUCCUCAGCAGCUCACAGUGUUGCUGUACCCUAUCUAUUCGCUCUGCGUUCAAAUACACCAAGGUCUUCACAGAUACCAUCCCCACCAUUUCACAAGAGAGUUAUCCUCCAGAAACUUCUAUACAACUUUCCCUUCUGAAUUAAUCCCCUAAUUCCUAUUUUAAUUACUGCCAGAUACGUAAAGCUACAUACCAACCAGAAAGCUACAUACCAACUUUGUUCCUCACUUCAACAAGGCCAUUAUUUGACUCUAGGCACAUAAUGCCUUCAGAUUUAUCUUUUGUUAUUCCUGCAGUUCAGUUAUGUCAACAAACCAAACACCCUUUUCUUUCCUACAAGGACCAGUUAUGCUUGCAGCUUCUUCAAUUAAGAUCCCAAGUUAAAACAACAGGACGUCUGUGAGAUUUCAGUGGUCCUUCAGCAAUGUAUGUCCCAACGAUGAGAAGACACCUCAGCAUUUACAGUAGAAGGCACUUCACUUUUAUUGCCCAAGUACUAAAUUUACUUCAAAUUUAGUGACAAUCUGUGCAAGCUUGUACUGUUGUCUGUAUUUCUACUGAUAAUAAGUGCUUACGAAGGGUUGCAUCCCCCAGAAUUCUAAAGUUUCAGCUCUAUCAGGUUUCACUAGUGUGCUGUAAUUAUUAAUGAAGAUUCCUAGCAUCAGGAAACCAGAGGUCUUUCCUCUCCUCUACAUUUCCCUGCAACCGGUUUCUCAAUUUAAAGUGCUGCAGCUUCUUUCUAAUCUGUAUUGAUUUGUUUUAUUAUGUAUUAAAUCCACACAUUUUCCCCUUUACUAUUUGAUUUUCUUUUUAGUUUAAUACUAAAGACUUACAUGUGUAUAAAACACUGCAAAUUAAAAGCAAUCUUUUCAUAUUCCCUCUGCAAGUAAUACUGAAUGAUUUUCUUCCUCUUUAUAUUCGCACUUCUGACAGUAUCAGUGUUGAGAACCACACACUUGCAGAGUCACAGAACAGGAUGGAAAGGACCUCACGUUCACCCACUUCCAGCCCCCUGAGACUGCAUCAGAUUGUUCGAGGCACCAUGCAGCCCAGCCCUGAACAAUUCCUUGGAGGGACUGACUGCAAAUCAGUAGCACAGUUGCUUCCCUUGCAGCCUUCUCUCAGCCACCACAAAAGUUGGCCAGCAAAUAGUUUGUUUGAAUCUGUUCUGUCUUCUACAGUACACCUGAAUGCCAGCCUCCCUGCAAGCCCUGCAGGCACGGUGUGACAGGGACCCGGAUGGAAGCACAAGGGAUGGACUUGCCUGUUGGAUGCUGUCCCCAUUAACCAUGUGAGGUAGAAGUGGCACUUCGUUCAAUAGAGGCGUAGCUUCUAACGGAGGCGGCUGGUCGGCCAUCAUGUCUGAAAACCAUUCAUUGACAACUGCUCACUUUAACCUCCUG